CUCCUCCUCUCACGAAACAGAUCUCUAGCGCCUCACGUGCUUCCACCCUAUCUCUGGCCACCGAAGCCCAUCCUCUCCCCCGCCGGUGGAACACUCCCACUGCCACAGCCGAACACGGUCCCAAUCUCGACACCCAAAUGAGCACACCAACGUGAGAGGCCGGAUCGAGCCCAUCCCCUCCGCCAUGGUCAACGACCCGCCGCCCACGAUGGCACUGACGCCCCCCAAUUCCCCAUGCCAACGCGUGCGAGACGGUGUCAUUGGAUCGAUGGCGCGCGUGCUAUAUGCGUGUGCGCGUGUGCUUGAAUGCUAGGGCGGCGUGCAGGAGCUCCCCCUUCUCCUCCCUUUUCCUCUCUCCCCCUGCACGCGGUGGAGCUUGAGCUGGGCGGGACGCUGAGCGGGAGUUCUUGGGGGCAGAGGAAGAAGACGUUCAGGUAGAAGGCGUGGACGUUGGGGAGUAGUUGCGUGGAACGGUGGAAGGAGGGUGUGAACGGUGGGAUGGGCGCUGGCUGGCUGGUACUCGCUUUAUGAUAUGAAGAUAUGUAUGCUGCUGGUACGUACUCGUGAACAUGGUGAAAAGAGAUCGGUGCUGCAGCGGCAGGUGUCUGGUGGCUAUGCAGUGGCAUCCGCUACUUAGACACGUAGCCGACAACCGUGAGAAGACUUUGAUCUUGAUAUAUUAGAUGUAAGCCCCAUACACCAUAGGAGGUCCUCCUUCUGGUGAUAUCAGUCGCCAGUCGGUGAGCUUUCUCCAUCUUCACCCUCUAACACACAUUGGUUCUGCAUUAUGUAUAUGUGGCUUAGAUAAGGAAGGAAUGUUUCUAUCUGAAUAUUAUCCAGUUAUUCUUUCUUUGUCUAAAUCGAUUUAGGAGAAGAGAUAGAGAGAAGCAAGUUACUGGUGUUGUUCAUUUGGGAAAUUCAGUACUUUGUUUAUACUGCUUUGUUUUAGGGGAUGAAGUAAAUAGAAGAAGAAAUUCCUGGGAUGGAUCUAUAUGUGCCCCUUAUGCUGUCAUGUAAAUUCCACAACACAUCUGUAUGCGUGUAUCCUUCUUAUAGUUUCUAUUACCCACUUAUAGUCAUGCUUGACAGCCUGAGGGCUGAGGCUAACAAUUAUUUUUGUCUCUGUGCCCCUUAUUUCAGUGCAUUGUGCUACUGUAUACUACUGUUAUAAUGACAUGUGCAUUUAGUAAAAUCCCUUAAUAAUGGCAGCAUGUAAAAAAUUAAAUGUUUCCUGAGUGCGGACUAUGGUAUAGAUUCGUGUAAGUUCUGAAACCUGCAAGUACUUAAUUACAUAAUAAUUCUGUAGGAUGAUAAAAAAGAAGAUGAUGAUUCAGUUAUCAAGAGGAUGUGUGAACUCUGAACCUGAAGAACAGGAAAUAAAACAUGAGGAAGAUAAUGGAAGAGAAGAAGAAGCAGGCAUUAGGAUAAUGAAAGAGAAUGAGUAGAUAAUGAGAAUGGUAAUGAAAGAGAAGACGAGAUGCACCUUGGCUAAGUAAAGAGCUAGACCUGAAAUUGCCAAUAAAGGGAAUGAGGUCCCUUUCUCUAUCGGUGCCAUCUUAGCUGCCGGCGAUUAGGUGCAUAUUUCGCGAGAUAAUCUCGUUCUAACAUGUCUCUGAUUUUGAUUUUUUUUCUGCGGAUUUCAGAAUAUAGAAGGCAGCUUCGCAGAGGGGUCACCGACGAGCAAGAGAAAUACUGCUGUAUGUUCAUGAACAAUUUUCUGUUGCUCUGACUGAAGGGAUUGUCUUUGUAAUUCUUGUCUGUUUGGGUGGUGCCCAGCUGCCAAUAGAAGACAAGCUGUCUUCUUGCUGAACAACGCCACAAUUGCAUAGUUGUAUGUUAUUUAGGAUUGUCUCUGUUGCAUACCACCUGGAGUUACAAGAGGUCCGGUACUAAUCUUGUGUAUGUAUCUGUUCUGUAUACACCUGAUUUCAAAGCAUCUAUUAUAGUACAUUUUGUUUCUUUGCUCGGUACAAGAUGUAUUGCAAGUGUUGCUCAUUGUUUUCUUCCUUUUAUGUAAAUAUAUACUACAGACCCUCCACAGGCUCAGUUUUCUUCCUUUUGUCAGAAUAUAUCAGACAUUUAUGUAUGAUGUCCUAGCAGUUGGAUGAAAGCAAAAAACCACAGAACUAAUAUUGUUGGCACAUAUGUUUUGAGCAAACAACUAAAAGAAGACUAUACUAUGCUUGACAAAUGAUUCCAUGGCCUCAUAGACGCCUAAGUUCAAGAUAUGCAAAGUUUCCAGGGGCAUGAUAAAGUUCAAGGAGCUCCCCCGCUCAACGGUGCUCGUCUUUCUUACUUUCACUUUCCUUUUUGAAAAGUUUCAUGUUCCCCUAUAUAUUUUUUGUUUUUUAACUUUUUGAAAGCACACAACAGAAUAGAAUGACUCUCUAAGACUUA